CCCCUUUAGGAAGUGGCUUCUCUGAGAGCUGUAGAAGUUACAUAAACUCAGGGCCGGACUGGCGCAUUGGGGACCCACUGGAACUGCAAGCAAAGGGCCCUCCAUGCAGUCACUGGGGACUCCCUCCUGACCGCCAAUCUCCCUGACCCAAAAGACUCUCUGCGCGCCAGCGCAAACGAUGCUAGGUGCACAUGCAUGAACAUGCUGAAGCUGUGCGCAUGCGCGGAAACGCUGAAGACGCAUUGCAUGGAUGCGCUGGAGCCUACGGGCCAGCUGAUUAAUGAGCACGUCUGGGUCAGCGGGGGUCCAUGAGAGCCGGGGCCCACCCGGUUUUCUCCCGGUAUUCCAUCGGCCCAGUCCGACCCUGCAUAAAUUGUGCCUUGAAUUUACUUCAACAUAGAUGAAUAAAGUAUAUGCACUGAUGGGAAUAUUGAAGAUUUUAAAGCACAAUCUAUGUUGAUUUAUGGAUACACGGAUAUUAAUGUUUUUUCGGAAGUUUUAUAGCACAAUAAUGUUUCUAAGAAUUUUUUAAAAAAAAAAAUUCGUUUUGUACAUAUGAUGUUAAAAAAUGUUUUCCUUUUUUUAAUAUAUAUGAUGUUAAUUCAAUUGAUGGCACGCCCCUUUGGCUAAUUGUUCACCUGAUGGGAGGGCUUUUAUAGCCUUGUUUGUUCUGUGUUAGUUACACUUGAGAAAGGGUAUAUAAUAACCCGAAACAUGUCGUGUAGUAGCUUUUAAUAAACACAACCAC